rnacentral:rRNA from 1 species
UUGGAGGGCAAGUCUGGUGCCAGCAGCCGCGGUAAUUCCAGCUCCAAUAGCGUAUAUUAAAGUUGUUGCAGUUAAAAAGCUCGUAGUUGAACCUCGGGGUCUACCCAUUGGUCAGGCUUAAUUGUCUGCACUGGUGAGAUGGAUCUCUACCUUCUGAGGAACUUUCAUGCCAUUCAUUUGGUGUGAUGGGAAAUCAGGACUGUUACUUUGAAAAAAUUAGAGUGUUUAAAGCAGACUAUCGUCUGAAUACAUUAGCAUGGAAUAAUGAAAUAGGACGGACUGAUUCUAUUUCGUUGGUUUCUAGGAUCACCGUAAUGAUUAAUAGGGAUAGUUGGGGGCAUUAGUAUUCAAUUGUCAGAGGUGAAAUUCUUGGAUUUAUUGAAGACUAACUGCUGCGAAAGCAUUUGCCAAGGAUGUUUUCAUUAAUCAAGAACGAAAGUUAGGGGAUCGAAGACGAUCAGAUACCGUCGUAGUCUUAACCAUAAACUAUGCCGACUAGGGAUCGGACGAAGUUAAUUUUAUAAUGACGCGUUCGGCGCCUUACGGGAAAC